rnacentral:rRNA from 1 species
UAGGGAAUCUUCCGCAAUGGGCGAAAGCCUGACGGAGCAACGCCGCGUGAGUGAUGAAGGUCUUCGGAUCGUAAAACUCUGUUAUCAGGGAAGAACAAAUGUGUAAGUAACUGUGCACAUCUUGACGGUACCUGAUCAGAAAGCCACGGCUAACUACGUGCCAGCAGCCGCGGUAAUACGUAGGUGGCAAGCGUUAUCCGGAAUUAUUGGGCGUAAAGCGCGCGUAGGCGGUUUUUUAAGUCUGAUGUGAAAGCCCACGGCUCAACCGUGGAGGGUCAUUGGAAACUGGAAAACUUGAGUGCAGAAGAGGAAAGUGGAAUUCCAUGUGUAGCGGUGAAAUGCGCAGAGAUAUGGAGGAACACCAGUGGCGAAGGCGACUUUCUGGUCUGUAACUGACGCUGAUGUGCGAAAGCGUGGGGAUCAAACA